rnacentral:tRNA from 1 species
UGUGGCUUAAUGGUAGAGUGCUUGCCUAGAAUGCAUGAAGCCCUGGGUUUGAGUCCUCGCA